AAAAUAUCAAUGUCUUCUGCCUCAUGUUCUUCAGCUAAUUUUCCUUGUGAUUAAAUAGAUUUUACUCCUAAUCUUGAAAACUCUGCCAAAAAACAUUGGUGCAACUCUUCUCUUUUAGAUCAUGCCCUGCUCAUACUACUUUUGGAGUUUCAAAAUUGUAAGCGUUAUAUUCAUCUACUUUGACGGUACCCCAGGAUUAAGGUAACGUUAACAUUUACCAGUUUUUCUUAGCAAUUUAGGUACUUAGGUUUUCUAGCCUGAAACCCAUUCCAAUACAAUGUUUGGUCGAUUCCCUACCAUUUGCCUGUUAUAAGAUUUUGUUUGUCUAAGUAGAUGCAGUGCAAGUCCAAUCAGUGAGUGCUAGAAAUAGUUGUGAACAUUUUCAGGCUAGACUAUUCAAACUUACAUUGUUUGUCUGCUCCAUGAUGAUACAAUGAUACCACCUUAGCACAGGUGAAGGGCAAUAAUUUUUAUUGUUUAUAUUUUCCAAUUAGGUCUAGGGAUACAAGUUGUGCA
rnacentral:misc_RNA from 1 species